UACGGGGGGGGCAAGCGUUGUUCGGAAUUACUGGGCGUAAAGGGCGCGUAGGCGGCCUGCUAAGUCGGACGUGAAAUCCCUCGGCUCAACCGGGGAACUGCGUCCGAUACUGGCGAGCUUGAAUCCGGGAGAGGGAUGUGGAAUUCCUGGUGUAGCGGUGAAAUGCGCAGAUAUCAGGAGGAACACCGAUUGCGAAGGCAGCUCGCUGGGACGUUACUGACGCUGAGACGCGAAAGCGUGGGGAGCAAACAGG
rnacentral:rRNA from 1 species